AUUGAACGCUGGCGGCAGGCUUAACACAUGCAAGUCGAACGAGUGGCGGACGGGUGAGUAAUGCUUGGGUAUCUGGCUUAUGGAGGGGGAUAACUACGGGAAACUGUAGCUAAUACCGCGUACCAUAGGAUGAGCCCAUGUGGGAGUAGGUAGUUGGUGGGGUAAAGGCUCACCAAGGCGACGAUCUCUAGCUGGUCUGAGAGGAUGACCAGCCACACUGGAACUGAGACACGGCCCAGACUCCGACGGGAGGCAGCAGUGGGGAAUAUUGCGCAAUGGGGGCAACCCUGACGCAGCCAUGCCGCGUGUAUGAAGAAGGCCUUAGGGUUGUAAAGUACUUUCAGCGGGGAGGCGUUACCCGCAGAAGAAGCACCGGCGAACUCCGUGCCAGCAGCCGCGGUAAUUC
rnacentral:rRNA from 1 species